GACGAACGCUGGCGGCGUGCCUAAUACAUGCAAGUAGAACGCAGUUGCGAACGGGUGAGUAACGCGUAGGUAACUGCCUCAUAGCGGGGGAUAACUAUUGGAAACGAUAGCUAAUACCGCAUACUGUGAGAUGGACCUGCGUUGUAUUAGCUAGUUGGUGAGGUAAAGGCUCACCAAGGCGACGAUACCUAGCCGACCUGAGAGGGGUGUCGGACAACAUGGGACUGAGGAAAGGCUCAGGACUCUACGGGGGGCAGCAGUAGGGGAAUUUCGGCAAUGGACGGAAGUCUGACCGAGCAAAGGCGCGUGAGUGGAGAAGGUUUUCGGGUCGGAAAGCUCUGUUGUUAGAGAAGCGGUACCUAACCAGAAAGGGACGGCUAACUACGUGCCAGCAGCCGCGGUAAUAC
rnacentral:rRNA from 1 species